GCCAGGCAGGUUUGGUCCUGGAGGGUCAUUUGGGAUUCCAGGUCGGCGGAACAGGGUAAAUCCAGUCUGUGUGACUCCAUCUUGCUCAGAAGAGGAUGAAGUCUCUUUGCUUCACAUGUGACAGCAGAGGGUGUUAAAAGAGGAUGUCUAAGACUUCUGGAAUUCACUAAAAUUUCUACAGCAGAAUAUGCUGGCCUUGAAGAAGUCUAACUUCUUUAUUUUAGUAUGGUCUGGGCCCUGGUGAUUACGGCAAUGAGUGAGACACAGCUCCUGACAUGGUUAAGGAUGGAAUGGUCAAAGAAUAAAGACAUGAUAUCUAGAAGGAAAAAGAUGUUGUUGGAGCCAAACUGUCCACACGGGAAUCCAUGAGCCAAGUUCUGCAGAACAUAGAAAGUCUGACUGUCU